rnacentral:rRNA from 1 species
AUUGAACGCUGGCGGCAGGCCUAACACAUGCAAGUCGAACGGUAACAGGAAGCAGCUUGCUGCUUCGCUGACGAGUGGCGGACGGGUGAGUAAUGUCUGGGAAACUGCCUGAUGGAGGGGGAUAACUACUGGAAACGGUAGCUAAUACCGCAUAACGUCGCAAGACCAAAGAGGGGGACCUUAGGGCCUCUUGCCAUCGGAUGUGCCCAGAUGGGAUUAGCUAGUAGGUGGGGUACGGCUCACCUAGGCGACGAUCCCUAGCUGGUCUGAGAGGAUGACCAGCCACACUGGAACUGAGACACGGUCCAGACUCCUACGGGAGGCAGCAGUGGGGAAUAUUGCACAAUGGGCGCAAGCCUGAUGCAGCCAUGCCGCGUGUAUGAAGAAGGCCUUCGGGUUGUAAAGUACUUUCAGCGGGGAGGAAGGGAGUAAAGUUAAUACCUUUGCUCAUUGACGUUACCCGCAGAAGAAGCACCGGCUAACUCCGUG